rnacentral:rRNA from 1 species
GUGCAGCCGCCGCGGUAAUACCGGCAGUCCGAGUGAUGGCCGAUCUUAUUGGGCCUAAAGCGUCCGUAGCUGGCCGCACAAGUCCAUCGGAAAAUCCACCCGCCCAACGGGUGGGCGUCCGGUGGAAACUGUGUGGCUUGGGACCGGAAGGCGCGACGGGUACGUCCGGGGUAGGAGUGAAAUCCCGUAAUCCUGGACGGACCGCCGAUGGCGAAAGCACGUCGCGAGGACGGAUCCGACAGUGAGGGACGAAAGCCAGGGUCUCGAACCGGAUUAGAUACCCCAGUAGUCC